CCCUUUCCUUGCUCUAUCGUGGUAGUCUUGGAAGCUUGGUUGUAUACCAAAUCGAGUGGCAUGCCCAGCACCGAAGCUUUGAAGAAGAUGCUCUCGGAGGCCAGCUCUGAGCAAGGAGGGGACGGGCUUUCAAGCCGCGGAUCUUGAGCCGCCUACCGGCUAGGUCGCAUCUUGCAGAUUCUGAUCUGGUGAGGCAGGCCACGGGAGAAUCUGAGAGAUAGCUUGUUGUUAGCUCUACUCUCCUACUCAUCGUGCCAGGAAUGAGAGAUUUGUUGUCAGGUUGGAUGACCAUCUUCUCUGUCGUCGUUGAGGUGGAGCAGUAUGGGCCGAGAGUCUGCAGGUUGAGGCGAGCUAUGGGCUUCCUCAUUGCUGGUGCUGUCAGCUUCCACCUAUGUAAUGUGCUACGGCUUUAAAUCAUUCCUAGUUCCUCCAUAGUGGCUGAUUGUUCACAUGUAUUUUUAUUUCUUGUUACCAUAUAUUAGCAAGUUAUAUUACUUGUAUGUGUAUUAAGACAAAGCAGGACAGCUUACAUGUACUAACUGAAAUGUUGGUUCAUGUAAUUGAUUUUACCAAGAAUAUAAAACUCACAAAAGUGCAUGUCUGAAUGUAUUUAAAUAAUUACAAUAUGGCAUGCUUCUGAUA